CAGCCGCCGCGGUAAUACGUAGGGUCCGAGCGUUGUCCGGAAUUAUUGGGCGUAAAGGGCUCGUAGGCGGUUUGUCACGUCGGGAGUGAAAACUCAGGGCUCAACCCUGAGCGUGCUUCCGAUACGGGCAGACUAGAGGUAUGCAGGGGAGAACGGAAUUCCUGGUGUAGCGGUGGAAUGCGCAGAUAUCAGGAGGAACACCGGUGGCGAAGGCGGUUCUCUGGGCAUUACCUGACGCUGGGGAGCGAAAGCAUGGGGAGCGAACAGGAUUAGAGACCCCCGUAGUCCCUGUCUCUUAUAC
rnacentral:rRNA from 1 species